rnacentral:tRNA from 1 species
AGCAUUGUGGCUGAGUGGUAAAGUGCUUGGCUUCAUAACAGGGGUCCCAGGUUUGAAUCCUGGUGAAGAUU